AGAAAGCAAGCAUAGCCUUGCGGCGGCUCCGCCGCUUCCUCCGCCGGUAGUUAAGGCAACAGUCCGGCGGCUGCAAGUGGAUUAGCUCCUCCUUCGCGUGGGAUGUUCUUGGCUUCGGUCUCUGUGAAGCUUGAGAUUCCGGCUACUUUCAUAGUGUUUGAGGGAUUCAGGUGAGGUCCAGCGAGUCAUAAAUGAUCAACCGUCUUUAAUGCUCGCCAGACACCGGUGUUACACUUGAAUCCAGAACCAAAUGCUAUUUGCCAGACACGAUGACCCUUUUUAACCCGCCCUUUGGCCUCAGCAUAUGCAAGUUCAUACCACACCGAACUGCUAGAGGUGUUGCCAAACCUAUAGAGAGUCAUUCUAGAAGGCUCCAUGUCCCAUUCGGUGAGCUGGAGGGUCUUCUCCAGCUCAUCCAACACUGCUCUCCCACCCGUGUGAAUGCAGAAGUGAUCGAAAGCAAGCUUGAAGUCCGGAACAUACGCCUUGAUUUUCAUCUUGAACAUCUUUUUUGCAGCCAAAGUGGCUACAAAUAGGAGCUGCUCUGACAUUGGAAGUACCAAAGGUCCGAGUGUUGUGAUAUGUGCCUGUAAGGCCUGUCCGGCGACAUUAAUUAUGUCUUUGGACAAUGACAUCCCGAGAUAUCCUUCUUCAUCCUCCACUUGGCUCACACAAUUGUAUGCUUUGUCGUCAGCACCUUUGUGGGUACGUAGUGUGCGAGUGAGUUCAUAUUUUGAACGCCUUCGAUCAGAAAACCUAUUCGAUAACAGAAUCGCUGCCCCUCCCAGUCUAAAGAGGCAGUUCGACAGCAGCUUUGAGCGCUCUUUACCUGCAUAAUAAUUGCUUGCUACGCUCUCCAAACUCAUAAUUAGAGCAUACACAUUCGGAAUUCAUAAAUGCUGAACGCAAUUACCUGUAGAAGCUGCUUUGCCAGGUCUAGAGCUAUUAAUCCAGCACUGCAGCCCAUUCCACCUAAGUUGCAGCUCACCACAUCACCUCGUAGCUUGUAACGGUUGACAACGGUGGCCGAAAGAGAAGGUGUUGGAUUAAAAGCAGUAAUGUUUACUAUCACAAUGCCUAUAUCUCUUGGCUUCACUUUGGUUUUGGCAAAAAGUUCGUCAAUAGCUCCAAAUAUAAUCGUCUCAGCUUCCUCCCUGGCAUCCUCGAAGGGGCGUUUUAGGGGGAAAUUAUCGAGACAAGUCAUGUAGAUGCCACUUUCACAAGCUUCUCUCGGGGGCACACGAGGGGGGACUGAUCAUCAGGCUUGUAGCAGGCGAAAUCCACCAGCUGUAAGGAGGAGGAUAAUGAUAAACAGAUACGCGACAUUCGAAAUCACAUAAUGAACACCAAGCUUUACGUAUUUUAGCCUGAUCGAGGCCUGGAAACUGGCUUUGUUUUUCCCAACUUCAGGAAUCGGGGAAGAUGCUGUUUUGCCAUCAGGCCUGUAGGUGCAAUGCAUCGCAAUAAAUAGGAUGUGGUUUGCCGCGGAAAAUUCAAAACUUGAAAGCAUAUGAGGAAGGUACAUUCUUACCUUAUUCUUGAUGACCAACUCUCUUAUAUAGACACCCUAAUGCAAUCUUUGAAUCUAGCUCAACCAUGUUUACUAAAUGCUAUUAAAUAAACAAGACAUAAUUGCGUAGUGUUUCUCUCUAAAUUAUAGAAACUGCGCAACCCUCCUCUCUGUAUUUUAAAAAAUAUUGCAUAAAUUUUUUAAACUGUAGUGCUCGAAUAACAACGGCCUCUACCAAUCUAUCAAGUUUAGACUUUUAGAUGAUUUUAUCUAAUAUUUUUUAAAACACGAGAGAAAAUUACCAACCUAGUUUCUAAACCAUGAGAGGAAUUAUAAGGACUUUUCAAAUAUGGGUUGAAUUAUAAAGAAAGACAACCUCUCCCAUGGAGGAACUUUUUUCUACUUAAACAUAAGAUAGGUAAGAAAAAAUGUUUGUCUAUUCUAGUUACAUAUAAUUUGAUGAAAUUUUGGGCAAGAAUGAAAUGCAAAUACUUUUACAAUUAAAUGCACAAGAGAGUGGACUAUUCAGUAUGGUAGCAACUUGCAAUGUUCAAUUAAAUGCUAGAUAGGUGAACUAACCUGUCAAUCUUUAUAUAUAUAUAUAUAUAUAUAUAUAUAUAUGAUCAAUAUGUUGAGAGUAGGCAUGUGGCCUCAUUCCCACCUAUGUUCUUCAUUUAAUUAAUUAUCACCUACUUUUCUCUAUUAAAAUUAAUGCUUGUUUUUUAAGUUUUGAAAAAAUUUAGAAAUAAUAAAUUAAAUAUUUUUAUAUGACAUUUUGUGAAUGAACAUAAAUAUUUUAUGUGAUAUUGUUUUAAAUUCUUACUUUUUUUUUUCUUUAAUGAAUAGUAUCGCGUUUUGUUAAAAAUGUAAACGUUUUUAUCAUUUGAAUAUAAUACUAAUAAUAGAACAACUGGUUCCAUCUUUCCUAUCAAGUAGGAUAUGCAAGUUGAUGACAUGAAUGAAAGGUUUAAGAUUUUGCACUAUUUAUUGUUAAAAAAAAUAUCGUGUAAGUACAUUUUUUUUCUCACAAAAUAUUAAAUCAAAUACUACCUCCGAAAGAAGAAUGAUAUUUACUUUUUGCACGUAGAUUUUUGAAUAUUAGUAUUAUAUUGGUUUAUAGUAAAAAAAGUAAUAUAUUUGUGUAAUAUAUUGGAAGUUGUAAGGGUAUUAAUUAUGUUAGUAAGUAAUGCAAUUACUAAAUAAGGAAAUAGUAACCAUGUUUUAGGACAUACAAAAAUAGAAAAUGAUAUCCUUUAUGGGACGGAGGUAAUACUAUUUUUUUUACUUUUUUUCAAACUUUAAAAAUUUCAGAAAUUUUUGAAAGACUCUUGUCUAAACAAACUUUGUACUUUUAGACAAAUUUUUGUAAAUUUUUAGAAAUUUUGAAAUAAUAAAAAGUUAGUAUUUGAUACUAUAUUUUAUAAGAAAAAACAUAUGUGAUGUAAUGUUUUUAAAAAUUUAUAGGGUAUCAAAAAUUUUAAAUUUGUUGUUUAAAUUGUAAUUUGUAUUGUUUUAUUAUAUAUUUAUAUGAGUUAGCUUUAUUAAAUUAGAAAAUGACGAAAAGGCUAUGCUAGUAGCUAGUCCAUGAUACUGAAAAAGUUAAUUUACUGAUUGAAUCAAAUCAAUAUGAUAUUGAUUUUUCCCGUCAAUACUUCAUAAAUAGGCAUACGACACAUUGUUUCAAUUAAUACAAUAUAUGUUGUGGUAAUUGAAAUCAUGUGUGACAACUCUAUAUACAGGGGUAUUGUAUAAAUAUAUUUUAUAUACUGAAAUUAAUAAUAGUAUGUGUUGUAUUGACAAUUGUUAGAUAUUGUCGGUUCAUAUAUAAUGUAUUUGUAACAUACAUGUUAACAUAAAUGAUAUGUUAUUUCAUGUACUAUUUGGAAAUAUUAGGGUUUUGAAAAUAAUAAAAUUGAACGUAAAUAUUUAUUUAAUUUGAUGUAAAUAGAGGUGCUGAAAAUAGGUAUGGUUCGAAAUUUCGAUCCGAAUUUGUGUUUGGAAUUCUAAAAUAGACUCAAAAUUUUUGGGUCGUGCUCGGCUCAUGAGACUCAGGCCGUGCCUGCCCCGCCCAGUUGAUUAUAAUUAAUUUUACGAACAAAUUAAUAACACAAGUCAAGUUAGAGCUUGGUGGUAAACCAUUUUAAUAGCAUUUUUAUUAAAUUUAUAUAAAAAUUUUAAAAAGAAAAAAAAAAUAAUUUGAAGUUAAAUAAAAAAAAAAAUGAGCCGACACAACUCGAUUUGAAAUUGGAUUGUGCUCGGGCUUAGCCUUCAAGGCCCAAUUUUAAACUGUUGGGCCGGCCCAAAUGUUGUAUAGGUACUAGAUAGACGUGAUGCUUUGUAUAUGAUAUA